rnacentral:rRNA from 1 species
AGUGAACGCUGGCGGUAGGCCUAACACAUGCAAGUCGAACGGCAGCACAGUAAGAGCUUGCUCUUACGGGUGGCGAGUGGCGGACGGGUGAGGAAUACAUCGGAAUCUACUUUUUCGUGGGGGAUAACGUAGGGAAACUUACGCUAAUACCGCAUACGACCUACGGGUGGAAGCAGGGGAUCUUCGGACCUUGCGCGAUUGAAUGAGCCGAUGUCGGAUUAGCUAGUUGGCGGGGUAAAGGCCCACCAAGGCGACGAUCCGUAGCUGGUCUGAGAGGAUGAUCAGCCACACUGGAACUGAGACACGGUCCAGACUCCUACGGGUGGCAGCAGUGGGGAAUAUUGGACAAUGGGCGCAAGCCUGAUCCAGCCAUACCGCGUGGGUGAAGAAGGCCUUCGGGUUGUAAAGCCCUUUUGUUGGGAAAGAAAAGCAGCAGGUUAAUACCCCGCUGUUCUGACGGUACCCAAAGAAUAAGCACCGGCUAACUUCGUG